CCCCCGUUAUUAAACCCCUGUUGUUGAAGGAAUUCUUCCUUGAGCCCCCUUUGAAACGACGGGGAUCCUCAGCGGCCACUUGAUCACCAGAGAACUCACCGGCCGCUGUUCUCCUCCUCGCCUUUCUCCAAGCCCUAGACAUCCCUUCGAGGAUGGCCUCCGGGGUGGAGGACAUGACGUGGGAACCCCUUAGAGAAGAAUCGAGGGGCUG
rnacentral:lncRNA from 1 species